UACAGAGGGUGCGAGCGUUAAUCGGAAUUACUGGGCGUAAAGCGUGCGUAGACGGCUAUCUAAGUCGGAUGUGAAAGCCCCUGGCUCAACUGGGGAAGUGCACCCGAAACUGAGUAGCUUGAGUGCAAAAGAGGGCCGCGGAAUUCCCGGUGUAGAGGUGAAAUUCGUAGAUAUCGGGAGGAACACCGGUGGCGAAGGCGGCGGCCUGGGUUGACACUGACGCUGAGGCGCGAAAGCGUGGGGAGCGAACAGG
rnacentral:rRNA from 1 species